AGCGGGUCGGGGAGCGGCCGCGGCCCGGGAAGGGCCUGCGGCGGCGGCAGCGAGGCGCAGAGCCAGCCGCGGAGGAACAAGCGCUGAGCGGGGGAUUAAAAGCAACGCCGUACGCACUCCGUGUAAAGCGUUGUGCGUGGAAAACGCAACCCGGGACUGCUGGCAGGCGCCAACACGCUGCCUGGCCUCAGCAACGCGACGCCAGCAGCCUUCGGGGGUGAAGGAGCAGGUACCACUGGCAGCGAGCCUCCUUCCUUCCCGGGCCCUGCACAUUCAAAUUAACGGUGCUGGCUGCUAAUUCAGGCUCAGUGGUGUAUAAAUGGUGAGUCUGUGUCAGUUCCCCCAACUGAAGAAUCGAGCCUGCACAGCUGAGCGCGUAGCUGUGGCCUGUAAAGCUGCACGGGCAGCGCUGACAGGGCAGUCACCCGCAGCUGAGGGAAUGAGACAAAGCCUGAGACAGAUUAAAGGUGAUAGACUUACAGUGUUCCAGACAGUUAGGGAAAACAAUUGUUUAAAGGAAUACAUGUUUCAGCAUGUUUGUGCGUGCUGUGAGGAAACUGCCUAGCCUGGUGUUUCAAGCAAACCUGCAAUGCAAUGUCACAAAUGCGUGUUGUACACAAAAGGAGCUCAAGGUCCUUGGACGUUACCUGUAGGAGAGCUCGGCUUGUCUGGUUGGCGUCAGUUUUAUUUUUUUGCCAUAUUCACCCGUUCAACAGAUCUUUCAGAGAAACGUCUUACAGCAAGUUGAAUGCCUGGUAGAAUCUUAUCUCUGCUGACAAGAGAGCCUAUAAUAGAGAAGUGAGGAACAGAAAAAAGAAGAAAUGCACAUUUACAAUAAACAAAGUAUUAAGAUGCAUAGAGAGCAAAACUAACGUAUUCCUUCGUCAACUCUGUCUGUGGAUCCAUCAAAAUCAAAAUAAUACAUCUGCAGGACUGAAUAUUUUUAAACAUUUGCAGAAAAGUAAAAUACUAUGAUAAAUACCAAAAAAAAAAAAAAAAAAAAAGGAAUGUGGUACUAGGAAUGGUAUGUGUAAACAUUCUCUUCUGUAAACAUUUAGAGGCCUUUAAAUGGCAGGAGGUCAGGACAGAAAAAAAGAAACAUGCUAGGACUUAACUUUUUUUCUACUGAAAUGAUAUUCUGUUAAAGCAAGAGCAGAAUCAUUGCCCGUUUCCCAGGUCAAAGCAGUGGAAGUCCAAAGGUACAAACCUAUUUUAACUUCCUAUUAAAACAUAGACAACCUCUUGAAAACUGAAAAAUCUUUUUUCAGAUUAGUAAGGAAACAGGCUUAAGCAAAACCAUCUACCUAAAACCACGUUUUGGGUCAUAAACAGAUCCUGGCCUCAAGGACAAGUUAGAAACUGAAUUAGUAACCUGCAUCGGUGGCACCAUCACUCACGGGCAGCAACGUUAGGAAGUGCCAGUGCGAAUAGAGUAUUCACCGAGUACGGGCCUGCGGAUCAAAUCGUAAUUUGGCCCUGAAUCCAGCUUUCUCUGAGUGCUUUGUUUCAGCUGUUCCUGGAGGGUUCCUACAGCUAAAGAGAGCUCAUGAGCUGGAGAGCACCGGCAUGGAAACAGCUGCUGGAGGAGCCUGUACCCUCGCAGCUUGAAGCAUGGCCGAGAGUAGUUUCUGCAAAGAACAGUGGAAAGGAUUCCCCUACCAGCGAGAAAAUUCUUCCCCAAAGCAACCAUAGCUGGAGCAUGUUACAGCAAGGAGCUUCAUCCAUCUCUGUAAGGCAUCAGCUGGCUGUGUCUCAGUGGAAUCAAGCACAGGGAAAAAAACUAUAGAAGAUUUGUCACGGUGUGGUUGCACAAGGUAUAAAGCCAGGUUUGCUGACGCGUCCGAUCUUGCUGCAGUUCGGCAGCCAGGUUGGCCAGUCCUGUGAAGCUGGAAUGACUCACGUGAAUGACUUGUCUUCUGUUACACUCAAAAGAUAAGAUUUUUCCAUUUCCUCAAAAUGCAUUUUCACUCAUAUAAGUCCAUUAUGUUCCAUUUUAGCCUUAGCAAAAGCUGCCAAAUAACAAAAGGUGUUAGAGAACAAAUGUUUGAGCUUAUAGUAAGUGAGGCUGAGAGUAAGGCAUCGCACCCAUCCCGUGCACAGCGGUGGAGGCCUGAUGCCGCAGACUGAGCUGCUUUUCAUCUGCUUCACUAAAGCACAAUGCUAGCUAGAUAUGAAUGUCAAAGGAAAAGUGUUCUAGUGAAACUUUAGAAGAAACCCCACCACCUAAACCCCAGCCACAAACAGUCACAGCUAAAAGAGACUAUUCAAUGUGAAAUGAGAAGGUUCACAUACUCCCUUAACUCAAAAUAACUAAAGGUUUAAAUUAAACAAACCUAAGUAUUUUGAUUGCUAUUUCUGCUUAACAACCUCAUAUUUUCAAAACCAGAAGGGCUAAAUGCUGUAGGUUUCCACACCUGUUCUGGCACAUUGGGUCAGUAAGAGUCUGCCCAAGACAAUGAAAUUACAAGGUUAUGUCUUAAUAGAAAGCCGAAUUCUCCACCUUGGAAAGACCUAGAUACAGACUUGCUUUUCUACACAAAGCAGAGCUAGUGACGAAGGCAGAACUCGCCACACGUGAAAUCAGUGGUCAGGAGCCAAGUCCAGAGGCCCCGUCACACCUGCCUUGGUUAGUGCAAGCCUCAAUGGAUAACCAGCUGCCCGGCAGCACCGACUCACGGCCUCCUUCUCCCCCUCUGGCUCCCUGGCGCAGCGGCAUCUGUCCGUCCAGCUCCAGUUGCACAGGGAGGUCGUCUCGAACAGUCAGGGAGGAGAAACAGGAGCCCGCACCCUGCAGGAUCUCACUAAAAACCUCUGUGCCGUCUCCUUGUGAGACCGACUCAGUGCUAGGAAGAGAGGAGCCGAAGGCCCAGGGAGAGGGUGGAUCCAGACAGCGAAAAAGGGACUCUUCUUCCAACCGUACCAUAAAAAACAGCACCACAAAACGCCAGGAGAAGUCAGCACAGCCAAUCUGCCUACAGAUGGAGAGCCUGUGGGGGAAGGCGAGGAGACAGGCAGAGAUGUUGGCAAACACAGGGCAGGAAGAAACAGCUCAAAGGAGUACCUGAGCAUUCAGUCACUGUUGGCUUUUGCUCCUUUCUCUUAUCCUGACCCAAACUGGAGGGAGAAAGCUCUGCAGAAAUGUGCUGCCAGAGACUGCGAGGAGCCCCCGCUAAUAAAGUCAGCUGGGGCAAAAAGCAGUGGUUGGGCCACAAAGCUCACUCAGGGAUCUUCUUUCUGAUCCUGUUCCUCACUGCUUCCCUGGACACUGCCCAGGGCACUGUCUAGGCUCUGGCAGGAGAUUUGGGCUAGAUUUCAGCACAGUCAAACAAUUAUGUUUUGGGUGGGAGCCUGGCCCUCUCGACAGGCACGCAGAGCACUCAUGCUGAGGGUUUUCCAGCGCUUCACGGUCGGCUCUUUUGUUUGGGAUACGGAGCGACUGCACAGCCUAUUGCACCUGAGCGCUAAUGCAACGCUCCCCCUGGGAGGACGACUGUGUCGCUUCCCGCCACGCGCUAACGCUGCUUGCCAACAGCCCUACUGCUCCCUCUUGGCCAGGCAUCUCGCUCCGCAAUUCAGCAGAGCAGCGUGCCUAAAAUCUCCAUUCUCAGUCCUUUCUCAAAGAAGUGCUUCACCUUUCCAGUUUCAGAGAGCUCCGACUCAAUGCAGAUGAAGAGCGAGUGAGCUGCAGCAGGCCGUUUUCCCCAACGCCCGACCUGCACGUUUCACCCCGCGGCAGGGCAGCCCGGGAGCACGGCGUCCCUCCCAAGGGACCCGCGUUUUGCCUUUUAACGCGCGCUGCAUGGAAGGAAAGGUCAGAAAUUUUGCCCAGCUGGCAGCAGGAUCUGUUAAGUCAGCAAAAGAAAUAUUAAAAAGAGAUCACAAUAUGAUUAAAGAAACAGGCUUUGGAUGUUACAUCUUUAUUAUAUAGUUUAUAGUUACCAUUAUAAUAAUGGAGGCAUAUUCUUAACAGAAUAGGAAGUGUGAGACUGCACAUUUCUGUAUGUAAAGAAAUGUAACAGCACUAAACAUUAACUUUCCAUAAUAACAUUCAUUUCUCUCUCCUUCCUCCAUAUCAAAUCAAAACAAAAAGACCUACACAUUUGAAAUAUUUGGUUGGAACUUCCAUUUUGAGUAACAAAAUAAACACUGUUAUUUGCAUUGUAAAUAAAUACAAUUACUUGCUUCCGUUGUGUUUCACAAGUUUCACAUUCUUCUUGAAUAAAAUUUCAAGUGCCUACUCUUUCAAAAGGCUAUUAAUAAGAUUCAAAAAGUGAUUUUUAAAGCCUUGAGCAUAGGUACUUUGUUUCAUUUUUAAAU